GACGAACGCUGGCGGCGUGCUUAACACAUGCAAGUCGAACGGAGAAAGAGGAGCUUGCUCCGCUGGAGGAGGGGCGAACGGGUGAGUAACACGUGGGCAACCUGCCCUUGACGCGGGGAGAACUGCGGGAAACUGUAGCUAAUACCGGAAACGACCCUCGGCGGCAUCGCCAGGGGGUGGAAAGAAUUUCGGUCAAGGAUGGACUCGCGGCCUAUCAGCUAGUUGGUGAGGUAACGGCUCACCAAGGCGACGACGGGUAGCCGGCCUGAGAGGGGAACCGGCCACACUGGGAAUGAGACACGGCCCAGACUCCUACGGGAGGCAGCAGUGGGGAAUAUUGCACAAUGGGCGCAAGCCUGAUGCAGCAACGCCGCGUGAGGGAUGACGGCCUUCGGGUUGUAAACCUCUUUUAGUAGGGAAGAAGCGAAAGUGACGGUACCUGCAGAAAAAGCACCGGCUAACUACGUGCCAGCAGCCGCAGUAA
rnacentral:rRNA from 1 species